rnacentral:rRNA from 1 species
GGCUUACACAUGCGAGUCGAGGGGCAUCACGAAUUAGCAAUAGUUUGGUGGCGACCGGCGCACGGGUGCGUAACACGUAUACAACCUACCUUCAAUUGGGGAAUAACCUGGAGAAAUUUGGACUAAUACCCCAUAGUAAACGGAAGAGGCAUCUUUUUUGUUUUAAAGAUUUAUUGAUUGGAGAUGGGUAUGCGUAGGAUUAGCUAGUUGGUAAGGUAACGGCUUACCAAGGCGACGAUCCUUAGGGGUUCUGAGAGGAAGGUCCCCCACACUGGUACUGAGACACGGACCAGACUCCUACGGGAGGCAGCAGUGAGGAAUAUUGGUCAAUGGUCGAGAGACUGAACCAGCCAAGUCGCGUGAAGGAAGACGGCUCUAUGAGUUGUAAACUUCUUUUGUACAGGAGUAAAGUGAGACACGCGUGUUUUAUUGCAAGUACUGUACGAAUAAGCAUCGGCUAACUCCGUGCCAGCAGCCGCGGUAAUACGGAGGAUGCAAGCGUUAUCCGGAUUUAUUGGGUUUAAAGGGUGCGUAGGCGGUAUUACAAGUCAGGGGUGAAAUUUUGGUGCUUAACAUUAAAAUUGCCUUUGAAACUGUGGUACUUGAGUGUAAAAGAGGUAGGCGGAAUGUGUUGUGUAGCGGUGAAAUGCAUAGAUAUAACACAGAACCCCGAUUGCGAAGGCAGCUUACUAUCAUACAACUGACGCUGAUGCACGAAAGCGUGGGGAUCAAACAGGAUUAGAUACCCUGGUAGUCCACGCAGUAAACGAUGAUUACUAGCUGUUAGCGAUAUAUUGUUAGUGGCUAAGCGAAAGCGAUAAGUAAUCCACCUGGGGAGUACGUUCGCAAGAAUGAAACUCAAAGGAAUUGACGGGGGCCCGCACAAGCGGAGGAACAUGUGGUUUAAUUCGAUGAUACGCGAGGAACCCUUACCCGGGC